rnacentral:lncRNA from 1 species
CUGCCCCUGCCCCAGCCCCAGCCCCAGCCCCCACCUAGCCAUUCCCGCCCUGCCUGUCACGGCCCUGCGCCCUCCCGCGGGAACUCAGUUUAAUAAUUAAUUAAGCUCUCAUUCCACAAGGCGCCAGUUAUUUCCAGCACGGAGCAGCUGCCCAAGUUACCUGGGAGAUGGGAAAAUCGUGUGAAAGCUGGUUAACCCUUUGAGGAUUAGAAUAAUGGUGGAAGCAGAAAGGAGAAGGAGUUUCACUCCAGGAUGUACGUAGGACCAGCCCUCCCUGCAGUCCUGUACUUCAAGGCUCAAGUCUUGUCCACUCCAAAUCACCACUGGGAUUCCUAAGUCCAGGACAGAGCUUCAGGCAAGGAAAAGAGAAGAGUUGGGAAAGCCAGUUUCCAACAUUUAUCAGCCACGUGUACCUGCAAACUAUAUACCUUGGGUAAAUCGUCAAUCUCUUGAAAUGGGAAUAAAACCAUCUGCCUUGUCUUUCUUA